rnacentral:rRNA from 1 species
GACGGUAACAGCCCGGUAGUUGAAAUGGCUUUCCCUCCAGAGUGGAUCCUGAGUACGGCGGAACACGUGAAAUUCCGUCGGAAUCCGGGAGGACCAUCUCCCAAGGCUAAAUACUCCCUAGUGACCGAUAGUGAACCAGUACCGUGAGGGAAAGGUGAAAAGCACCCCGGAAGGGGAGUGAAACAGUUCCUGAAACCGUGUGCCUACAAGUAGUUAGAGCCCGUUAAUGGGUGAUAGCGUGCCUUUUGUAGAAUGAACCGGCGAGUUACGAUUUGUUGCAAGGUUAAGCGGAAAAAGCGGAGCCGUAGCGAAAGCGAGUCUGAAUAGGGCGCAUAAGUAACAGGUCGUAGACCCGAAACCAGGUGAUCUACCCAUGUCCAGGAUGAAGGUAAGGUAAUACUUACUGGAGGUCCGAACCCACGCACGUUGAAAAGUGCGGGGAUGAGGUGUGGGUAGCGGAGAAAUUCCAAUCGAACUUGGAGAUAGCUGGUUCUCUCCGAAAUAGCUUUA